AACCCCCUUUUCCCCUCAUUUGGACGCCCCUCAACCCAGACACAGAGAGAGAGAGAGAGAGAGAGAGAGAAAAGAUGGCGAAGACAGAAGAAGAAGAAGGAGAAGUCACAGAUCUGUUCAAAACCUCCAGUCUAUACUAGGGUUUUGUUUGGAAUGAUACCCACGACGAACAAGGACGAUGAAGACCCGACCUUCCUCGAGCCCUGCAGCAAGUGGUGGAUUGAUUGGUGCGACAAGUACACUCAGAAUGUUGCACAUUCGGGAGAUGAUAUGUCCCGCCAAUUGACUGGCCCAUUCCAUGAUUUCAAAGUCGACCUCCAACGCUUAGCAGGAUGCAUGUUCGCCAUAGAUAAUUCAGUCCGUGUUGUAAUUGUUAUUGGGAUUGUAAUUUGUGUACUCCAAGCAAUUCAACUUAUGCGUAUGUAAUUGUAAUUUGUUGUCGUACUAGUAAGUUUGGAAAGGAAUUGGAGUUGCUUGCAAUCCAACUUAUGCAAUUUGA